CUACCAUGGCAGUCACGGGUAACGGAGAAUUAGGGUUCGAUUCCGGAGGGGGAGCCUGAGAAACGGCUACCACAUCUACGGAAGGCAGCAGGCGCGCAAAUUGCCCAAUCCCGACACGGGGAGGCAGUGACAAGAAAUAACAACUCUAGGUUUUCUUAGAAGUGUAAUGAGGAUAAUUUACAAACCUUACCAAAUGCAAUUGGAGGGCAAGUCUGGUGCCAGCAGCCGCGGUAAUUCCAGCUCCAAUAGCGUAUAUUAAAGUUGUUGCAGUUAAAAAGCUCGUAGUUGAAAAUCUGAUUGCUCAGGUCUCCAGCCUUUAGGCGGGGAUUCUGACAGUCAUCCGCUUGCAAACAUAUGUUCGAUCUUCACCGGUUGGCUAUGUGAGUAAGCACUUUACCUUGAGAAAAACAGAGUGUUCCAGGCAGGUUUGUCCGGAAUGCAUUAGCAUGGAAUAAUAGAACAUGACUGAAGUCUAUUUAUUGGUUAAAGGCUUUAGUAAUGAUUAAUAGGAACAGUCGGGGGCAUUCGUACUCAGCAGUCAGAGGUGAAAUUCUAAGAUUUGCUGAAGACGAACUAAUGCGAAAGCAUUUGCCAAGGAUGUUUUCAUUAAUCAAGAACGAAAGUUAGGGGAUC
rnacentral:rRNA from 1 species